rnacentral:ncRNA from 1 species
AAGCAGAGCGUGCAAACUUAACCACUCAGCCACGGGGCCGGCCCCCUAGCCUUUUUUUUUAAAUCAUUGACAAUAAAUGAGUUGAAUGCUUGGAGUUGACCUUCUAAAUUAUGCCUGUCCAAAUUGGUACCUUUCAGAGACAGUGUCAGAUGGUGUGUUUGGCUGUCAGACAGUAAUGUAGGUGUUCUGUGAUGAGCUCAGGGAGGGUAGAAGUCUCCCGUGGAGCAGGACAAAAACUCAGUUGAUCUUGAUUACCAGUAUGAGUAAAGAUCAUGACAGUGGGUUCUGCGAUCUUUCUGAUCUUUGGGGUUUUAAGCACGGGUAACUGACUUGUGACAGCCAAGUGUUCAUAGCAAUGUUGUUCUCUGAUUCUUCGACGUCAGCCCCAUCACUGUGAAGCAGGACUCACCAAGCCUUGGAUUGUUUACCAAUCUACCUUUGGAUUCUUUAUAAAUGUCAACAUAGAAUAUCUUUAC